AUUGAACGCUGGCGGCAGGCUUAACACAUGCAAGUCGAACGUGUGGCGGACGUGUGUGUAACGUCUGUGACACUGCCUCAUUGAUGGGGUCAACCACUGGAACCGGUACCUAAUACCGCAUACCAGCGGAUGUGCUCAUAGGGGAUUGGCGAGUAGGGGGGGUAUAGGCUCACUUAGGCGACGAUCCCUAGCUGGUCUGAGAGGAUGACCAGCGAAACUGGAACUGAGAGACAGUCCAGACUCCUACGGGAGGCAGCAGGGGGGAAGAUUGGACGAUGGGAGCAAGCCUGAUGGAGCGAUGCCGCGUGUAUGAAGGAGGCCUUCGGGUUGUAAAGUACUUUCAGCGGGGAGGCGUUACCCGCAGAAGAAGCACCGGCUAACUCCGUGCAAGCAGCCGCGGUAAUU
rnacentral:rRNA from 1 species